AACGAACGCUGGCGGCAUGCCUAACACAUGCAAGUCGAACGAUCCCUUCGGGGAUAGUGGCGCACGGGUGCGUAACGCGUGGGAACCUGCCCUUAGGUUCGGAAUAACUCAGAGAAAUUUGAGCUAAUACCGGAUAAUGUCUUCGGACCAAAGAUUUAUCGCCUUUGGAUGGGCCCGCGUUGGAUUAGCUAGUUGGUGGGGUAAAGGCCUACCAAGGCGACGAUCCAUAGCUGGUCUGAGAGGAUGAUCAGCCACACUGGGACUGAGACACGGCCCAGACUCCUACGGGAGGCAGCAGUGGGGAAUAUUGGACAAUGGGCGAAAGCCUGAUCCAGCAAUGCCGCGUGAGUGAUGAAGGCCUUAGGGUUGUAAAGCUCUUUUACCCGGGAUGAUAAUGACGGUACCGGGAGAAUAAGCCCCGGCUAACUCCGUG
rnacentral:rRNA from 1 species